AUGCUUUAUUCAACAUUGCCAAGGUAUUUUUUUUCUUCAACAAAAAUUUAUUUGUUGCUCCAGUUUUUUCUUUUUAUCUCUUCCGUUUGAUAGUAUUAUUUUACAGUCAUACAUUUAUAUGCAUGCACAUGCGUUUCUGUGGGGUAUGGUAGUAUUGUUGAAUUGUAUCAUGGUCAUGUUAGAUAAUAAACCUACUUUAAUAUACGGUGCUUGGGUGGAAGUGCUGAUGGUCAUUUAUGUUCAAUGGAUUAUAUCAAUAUAUAUUUCCGGGACAAGAUUUUCAACAAGGCUUUGGGUCAAAGACAAGAAAAUUGUAUUUAUUUGUGCAACUUUAUAAGGUAUAGAGUAUAAUAAUUCUUUGUUUUGGCCUCAUUCAAAUCAUGAUUUGACAGAAUUCUGGGUUACUUGGUCUUCAGCUGACAUGUAUUUUUCGGCAAUUUUGGGGAUUGUUAAAUUAUCUUUUACAAAAAUAGUUUUCAGUUUUCUAAUAAUUGUGCUUACUACUUCUGAGCUUUUGCCAACUUUUGUUAUUGUUUGAACCGUAUGUUCCUCAUGCUUUGUUGUUGCAAUUAUUGGUGUCUGUUCUGGGAGUAAUUCAUAAUCUGAUUUGAAUUACAAUUGUAGCAUGUAAU
rnacentral:misc_RNA from 1 species